UCUAACAAUGGUGGCCAUGCUGGACCUACGGAUGAAUGGUCACCUUUGUUAUUAGGCAAGCUUUGCUCUUAUAGAGUACCUUCAUUAUUAAACUUAAAGUCCCCACUACAUGAACAUCUGCCUUCCAUGCCGUGCAUUGGGGGAUGCAAAUUGCGGUCCCCAAUGCACAGGCACCGUCCAUGUGGCCUGUGUUGAUGAAUGCUUCGUGAUCCAUCCACACUGCAUAAAAAUAGAGCAUGUUCUAUUUUUUUGCGGCACAGAGGUAUAGACCGAAAUGUCACAGAAGCGCUUUGUAGUGCUUCCUUGGCCUUCUGCUCCGUGCCUCUAUUCCAUAUCUUCCGGAUUCAAGUCAAUGGGUGAUAGGGUGCACCCACGGCCGGUGCCCGUAUAUUGCGGACCCGCUGUUCGUGUGCAUGAGCCCUAACUAGGUAAAAAAUUAAGCAUGAAGAAACUCAAUAAUUUAGUCUUUAUUAAAAAAAAAAAUUGCCCCCAACAGCGCCUAUGUGUCUCCAUGGUAACAGACUACAACUAAACUAUGUAGUCUGCUCUUUCAGUCUUGCUCCCAUCGGUCACCUACUUCUUAGCCCUCUUUCACACGACCGUAUGGCUUUUUCAGUGUUUUGCGGGCUGUUUUUUGUUUCCGUUUCGGUUCCACCGUGCUGAUUGUAGUUGUGCAGUGUAGGACUCCGGAAGAUAGACCAUCACUUAAAGAAGGCUGGAAUACAAUUUUAAAACAAUAAAAAUGCGGUUGCCUUUAUUUUUAGUGAACUAUAUUAACAUAACAUUUUGUGUACUGAAAAUAGUUUGUAUUUUAUAUGUUUAUGACCAAGCCAAAUUUGCCAUUUUGCCCCCUUUUAGGUAUAAUGUUACCAUGUGCAGUAUUGCAUUUUUGCAUAAAACCCAUGCAGCUCUCUCACAUAAAAGCUCAUUUUUGAUUCAUUG